CCCCUCUCAGGAUGGCACCUGGAGAGUUCCCAGUACUCUACCAGUCUCGGCUAUGGGAGGAAGAGUCAAGCAGAGGCAGACCCAUUCCAUUCCUAGCUUGGCUAGUGGCUAGAGAGGGGAAGGCAAUCUCUUACAAAU